UUGACCACGACCACGACCACGACCAGAACCCCAGCUUCCAGUGGAAGGGAGAAGAACCCUGGCUGACAUCCCCAGGAAAGACAAGCCCAGCACGGAAAGCUCCGUGGGUAACCGUCUCCCAAGCACUGCUCGAGCCCAGCACAGGGGCCUUGGACACCCGCCUCUGGAUUCUCUGUGCAAGCGCUCACCCUAUGUGGAUUCAGUCAGGACUUUGGCAGCCUCUGAGACCAGAAGGCCAUGAAGAAGGAAGCCCACUAGAAGCAGUGCCCACUACCCACCCACGCUCACUCUGACAGAAGCACACAAGCUUUGCACUGCCCGUCCUGUGCCAGAUUGGCGUGGUCAGCGGGAUCUGAAGCAGAACUCCAGUGAUUGCCAGGGGCACUGGGUAACCAGAGAUUCUCUCCCGAAAGAAAGUCAUAUUUCUGGGUCUUAUCAUAUCUUCAUUUGAAAUCGGGAUUUCAGACUAAUACAA
rnacentral:lncRNA from 1 species